AUUAAAGUUGUUGCAGUUAAAAAGCUCGUAGUUGGACUUGUGUGCGCUGUCCGCGGGUGGCCUGCGCCCAAAAGGGCGUUUCGGUUCGGCCCCGGUGGCGCCUUGAAAUCUGCAGCUGGGGGGACGUUGGCCUUAACUGGUCGGCGACCGCACGCCGGCUGCUCGGUUACUGUGAGAAAAUUAGAGUGUUCAAGGCAGGCAUUGGGUGCAAUUGAAUACAUUAGCAUGGAAUAAUAAAAUAUGGCUCCUGCCGUAUUUUGUUGGUUUUGACUGGUGGGAGUAAUGAUUGAUAGGGACGGUUGGGGGUGCUAGUAUUGAGCGGCCAGAGGUGAAAUUCAUGGAUUCGCUCAAGACUAACUUAUGCGAAAGCAUUCACCAAGGACGUCCUCUUUAAUCAAGAACGAAAGUUGGGGGAUCGAAGACGAUCAGAUACCGUCGUAGUCUCAACCAUAAACUAUGUCGACUUGGGAUCGGCGGUAGUUUUUUCAUUAAGACACUGUCGGGACCACGGGAGAAAUCAAAGUGUCUGGACUCUGGGGGAAGUAUGGUCGCAAGGCUAAAACUUGAAGGAAUUGACGGAAGGGCACCACCAGGAGUGGAGCCUGCGGCUUAAUUUGACCCAACACGGGGAAACUUACCAGGUCCAGAGAUGUAGAGGAUUGACAGAUUGAAGCUCUUUCUUGAUCACUUCGGUGGUGGUGCAUGGCCGUUCUUAGUUGGUGGAGUGACUUGUCUGGUUAAUUCCGUUAACGAACGAGACCUCAGCCUGCUAGUGUAGUCGGCUGGAUUGCCUUUGGCGAUCCGUGAUUUCGACUUCUUAGAGGGACAAUCGACGCGCAGUCGAUGGAAGUUUGAGGCAAUAACAGGUCUGUGAUGCCCUUAGAUGUUCUGGGCCGUACGCGCGCUACACUGCUGGGCUCAGCGAGUUUUACUUGGCCGAGAGGCCCGGUUAAUCUUGUGAAAUCCCAGCGUGCUUGGGCUCGCCUCCUGCAACUGGAGGCGCCAACGAGGAAUUCCUAGUAGACGCAGGUCAUCAACCUGCAUCGAUUACGUCCCUGCCCUUUGUACACACCGCCCGUCGUUCCAUAAGAGUGAGGCAUCCGGUGAAUUCUCGGGAGAGCCUGGGCGUGGCCAGCAAUGGUCUGCUCGGGUUUGACCUUGCAUAAACUUGGUGCCUAUGAUUAGGG
rnacentral:rRNA from 1 species